GACGAACGCUGGCGGCGUGCUUAACACAUGCAAGUCGAACGGAAAGGCCCUGCUUUUGUGGGGUGCUCGAGUGGCGAACGGGUGAGUAACACGUGAGUAACCUGCCCUUGACUUUGGGAUAACUUCAGGAAACUGGGGCUAAUACCGGAUAGGAGCUCCUGCUGCAUGGUGGGGGUUGGAAAGUUUCGGCGGUUGGGGAUGGACUCGCGGCUUAUCAGCUUGUUGGUGGGGUAGUGGCUUACCAAGGCUUUGACGGGUAGCCGGCCUGAGAGGGUGACCGGCCACAUUGGGACUGCGAUACGGCCCAGACUCCUACGGGAGGCAGCAGUGGGGAAUAUUGCACAAUGGGCGGAAGCCUGAUGCAGCGACGCCGCGUGCGGGAUGACGGCCUUCGGGUUGUAAACCGCUUUCGCCUGUGACGAAGCGUGAGUGACGGUAAUGGGUAAAGAAGCACCGGCUAACUACGUG
rnacentral:rRNA from 1 species